UGGUUGUUGCGUUAGAGGCCACGUCAGCCGUGACGAACGCAUCGUUUUCCGAUCUGAAUCGCGUCUCUCGUCUUUCGUUAUACGUUCCUCUCUCCGUCCGACCGCUGGCAACGAAAUCGUUCUCUCCACGGUUCCUCUUUUGCUCCCUCUCAGCCUGCAGGAAGCUUGAUGGCUGGGUUGGUUAGUGCACAUGUCAAUCCUGUUUGCCAAUCCUACAAUAUCUGCCGGUCUCCUCUUGUCCGAUCUACCUUUUUGCAGAUACCAGAAAUGGCAAUUAAACAUCCUGUAGCUGUCAUGAAACAUCUUAAGCCUCUCUCUGUUGUGGCCUCAUCGCUGCAACCCCCGAAGAGCAUUUCUAUUGCUCAGUUUAGCAACACUAUACCUUCUGAAGAGGUGCUCAACUUCUGGCGCAGUGUUGAUGCUGUGUGCUUUGAUGUGGAUAGCACUGUUUGUCUGGAUGAGGGUAUUGAUGAACUUGCUGACUUCUGUGGUGCUGGCAAAGCUGUUGCAGAGUGGACAACAAAGGCUAUGAGUGGAUCUGUACCGUUUGAGGAAGCUUUAGCUGCUAGACUUUCUUUAUUUAAUCCUUCACUGUCACAGGUUAAGGAUUUUUUAGAGAAGAGACCUCCCAGGAUUUCUCCUGGCAUUGCUGAACUUACCAAAAAGCUGAUGGCUCAAAACAUCGACGUGUACCUUAUAUCUGGUGGCUUCCGUCAAAUGAUUAAUCCUGUGGCUUUGCAGCUUGGAAUCCCUCUUGAGAACAUCUUUGCAAAUCAAUUACUAUUUGGGAGUUCUGGUGAGUUUGUUGGAUUUGAUAGCAAAGAACCUACUUCAAGAAGUGGUGGAAAAGCAACAGCUGUACAACAGAUAAGAAAGGUCCAUGAUUACAAGGCAUUGGUUAUGAUCGGAGAUGGUGCAACAGAUCUUGAGUGAGAACACCUUUGGUGGGCUUUCAUUGCUUACACAAAUAGGUGUAUAAAAUUGAUCAAAGUGAACAAGUUCUCUUAUCAAUUAAAAGAAAGAAGUUGGGUGGAGAAUGAGAUUAAAUAUCCAGCUCAUGAUUCUUGCAUGGUUCAGACUACAUUAGAUGCUGAAGGCAAAGAAACCAGGUGGUGCCGACUUAUUUAUAUGCUUCGCCGGGGUUCAGAUGCGAGAAGCAGUUGCAGCAAAAGCUGAUUGGCUUGUCUUUAACUUUGAAGAAUUAUUGACCUCCAUGUCAUAGUAUUUGCUUUGCGAGGUCGCCUUUUUUUUUUUUUUUCUGGUCCUGUUUGAAAUAUUGUUUUAUUUGCGCUGCUUUCUCAUGUCAAAUAGUUGUCUUUAUUUGAUUA